rnacentral:rRNA from 1 species
GACGAACGCUGGCGGCGUGCCUAAUACAUGCAAGUCGAACGCAGUGGGUACGGGUGAGUAACAAGUGGGUAACCUCCCAUCAGAGGGGAUAACACUUGGAAACAGGUGCUAAACCGAUACUGAUGGAUGGACCAGCUGUGCAUUAGCUAGUUGGGGAGGUAACGGCUCACCAAGGCCACGAUGCAUAGCCUACCUGAGAGGGCGAUCAGCCACACGGGGACUGGUACACGGCCCAGACUCCGACGGGAGGCAGCAGUAGGGAAUCUUCGGCAAUGGACGAAAGUCUGACCGAGACACGCCGCGUGAUUGAAGAAGGUUUUCGGAUCGUAAAACUCUGUUGUUAGAGAAGCGGUAUCUAACCAGAAAGCCACGGCUAACUACGUGCCAGCAGCCGCGGGAAUUC